rnacentral:sRNA from 1 species
CUGAAAUGAUUCAGUUUCUGAUACUACAUCUUCAA